rnacentral:lncRNA from 1 species
CACUCAAUGAAGCCAUUAGCCAAGUUGUGAAGUACAAUAACCAUUUAUCUCAAUGAUGACAUGAUAAACGUUCUUCAAUUAUACCACAUGUACACACCAAUUAUUUUACAACUUCUUCACCACCCAAUUCUAAUGAGAAGUUAGAAAAAAAAGAUAUGCAAAUUGAUGUAGUUUGCUUUAAAACUGUAGAUAUUGCAAAAAACCUGGCUAUAAGAUUAAUAAUUAUUCAGAGAAAUAUCAACGUAUAUAUUGAAUGAGGAGUGCAGUCAUAUCAUCAAAAGCAUUGCAGGAAAACAAACACGUCUAGCCAUAAUAAGGACCAUGCAACUAGAUUCUUCACUAUCACAAAUCAAAAAAGAUUAUGUACUCUCUGCCAACCCUUCUCAUUGUUUUAAUAUACUUGUACAGUUAGGAGUCACAAAACUAGAUUGUCAUGCAUUACUUGACUUGGAAGCCUUUACAUGUUUUAUUGGCAAAGAAUUUUCUAGAUCACACAAUAUCUAUAUGGUCAAAAAAUCCAAAGUUGUACAUGUAGAAGUAAUAGAUGGUCGAUCUUUAUUCUCUAGAAACAUCACUCAUGAAACAAUU